rfam:Pristionchus pacificus strain PS312 contig6410, whole genome shotgun sequence.
UCUUCAUUUCACACACUCUCUUACCGGUCAGAGAGGCGAGAGAGUGUGCAAAAUGAAGAGA